rnacentral:misc_RNA from 1 species
GAUGAAGAACGUAGCGAAAUGCGAUAAGUAAUGUGAAUUGCAGAAUUCAGUGAAUCAUCGAAUCUUUGAACGCACAUUGCGCCCCUUGGUAUUCCGAGGGGCAUGUCUGUUCGAGCGUCAUUAUAACCCCUCAAGCUCAGCUUGGUGUUGGGGCCUGCUGCACUGGCAGCCCUUAAAAUCAGUGGCGGCGCCAUCUGGCUCUAAGCGUAGUAAUUCUUCUCGCUAUGGAGUCCUGGUGGAUGCUUGCCAUCAACCCCCAAUUUUUCUAUGGUUGACCUCGGAUCAGGUAGGGAUACCCGCUGAACUUAAGCAUAUCAAUAAGCGGAGGA